GGAAGAGGGAGCAGAUAGUUCCAUAGUCUUAUUCCUUUUUUCCCUUAUUACUUUUCAUUCCUCGUUUGCUUCCCUUAUUAUAGUUUUGUAAUCCUCCUUGGAGGGUUCCACCCCACGCUUUUCUGGCGCAGAAUAAUUUUCAGACUCUCAGGGCUCCAAUUCUAUGGAUUAAACUCAACACGUUGAAUCACAUCAGGUUUCGGCAGCCUGAUUAAGCCAGACUCUUCAAUAAGGUUUUAUAGGUACAAAUCUCGGAAUGGAUCAGGACCAAGUAAUCGCUGCUGGAGAAACUGAAUUUUGCAUAAUUUACAACCAGAUUUGCCGAGGAACUUUUCUCAAUGGGCCGGGAGCAACUUCCCCUUCCUGAGGUGAUCUGCAGUCCAAAAACAAUUUCCCAAGGCGGUCAAUGAAGGGUCUCUGGUUCGGACAUAGAAGAGAGAAGAACAAGGAGGAAAAAAAAGCAUCGGAGGAGCAUGAAUAAAGAAGACAAAACCUCUCAGAGGAGUAACGUUUGCCGCAGAAAAGCUCAGCGAUCCAAAUGAGUCAAUACGAAUCCCGCAAGGUCGAAAUUACCUACGGACAUUGCCGGGUGAAGAUAAUACUGCUACAAAGUGAGCUGUUGCCUAGAAGAAUCCUCCGAAGAAGGACAGGGAAAUGCCCCCAAGUUCCACAAGUGAAGAAAUCGAGGCACAGAGGAGGUCAGUAACGUUUUGAAAGUCAAGACAUGAAUGGCAGAGUUGACAGAA